GGUCUUAUGGUCUAGUGGUAUGAUUCUCGCUUAGGGUGCACUCUGAGUUGCUAUCCGACAGGAAAGCAUGCGAGAGGCCCCGCGUUCGAGUCGCGGUAAGACCC